ACAAACGCUGGCGGCGUGCCUAAUACAUGCAAGUCGAACGGGGAAAGCUUUCGGGUGAGUACUAGUGGCGCACGGGUGAGGAACGCGUGGAUAAUCUGCCUUAGAGUGGGGGAUAACUAGUCGAAAGAUUAGCUAAUACCGCAUAAGACCACGAGAGCUGCGGCUUUUGAGGUCAAAGGUUUUUCGCUCUAAGAUGAGUCCGCGUAAGAUUAGCUAGUUGGUGAGGUAACGGCUCACCAAGGCGACGAUCUUUAACUGGUCUGAGAGGAUGAUCAGUCACACUGGAACUGAGACACGGUCCAGACUCCUACGGGAGGCAGCAGUAGGGAAUAUUGCACAAUGGAGGAAACUCUGAUGCAGCGACGCCGCGUGAGUAAUGAAGGCCUUCGGGUCGUAAAGCUCUGUCGCAGGGGAAUAACACAAUGAAGGUACCCUGUAAGAAAGGAUCGGCUAACUUCGUG
rnacentral:rRNA from 1 species